rnacentral:rRNA from 1 species
AGUCACUGACAUUAGAUACCCGGUAGUCCAGGGUGUAAACGCUGCAGACUUGGUGUUGGAAGUCCUUUGGGGGCAUUCAGUGCCGGAGAGAAGUUGUUAAGUCUGCUACUUGGGAGUACGUCCGCAAGGAUGAAACUUAAAGGAAUUGGCGGGGAGCACCACAACGGGUGGAGCCUGCGGUUUAAUUGGACUCAACGCCGGAAAUCUCACCGGAUAGGACAGACAUAUGAUAGUCGGGCUGAAGACUCUACUUGAUGAUCUG